rnacentral:rRNA from 1 species
UACGGAGGAUCCAAGCGUUAUCCGGAUUCAUUGGGUUUAAAGGGUGCGUAGGCGGAAUAGUAAGUCAGUGGUGAAAUCCUGUCGCUUAACGACAGAACUGCCAUUGAUACUGCUAAUCUUGAGUACAUUUGAAGUGGGCGGAAUGUGUAGUGGUGAAAUACUUAGAUAUUACACAGAACACCGAUUGCGAAGGCAGCUCACUAAACUGUAACUGACGCUGAGGCACGAAAGCGUGGGGAUCAAACAGG